rnacentral:lncRNA from 1 species
CUUCGAUGGUCGAUCAGAUGCCUCCUUCUUCUUGAUUUGGACUCUUCCAAAGAUAAGAAGUAAGAAAAAGAGUUUUAGAUCUGAGACACUCUCAGAAAACUCAAGAUGGAGGAAGAGAAGAGGUGAACACAGCAACCCUAGAAGAAGACCCUCUUCUUCUUCUCUUUGCUCUCACCUAGAUACCUAGUCUUGUGUCUAUUGUAUCUCCAUACCCCAACCUUCUUUCUCUCUAAUUUUUGCACACCCCAAAGGAUUCUCUUUUCUCUAUUUUUCAUAAAAAUUUUAUGAAUAAAUUCAUUUUAAAUAAAAAGAUAUGAUAGAGUAUUUUUCUAGGUCAAAUACCUGUCAAAGAUUAUCCAAACAUGGUAAGACAAGGGGCGCCGAACUCUUGGUCGCCCCUCUUUCUUUUUAUGCAAGGACCACCAGCAAAGAGCACAUAUUAUGUGUCAUAACAGUCACAAAAAUCUUAAAAAAAAUUUGAAUAAAAUCAGUGCCAUAAGG